rnacentral:rRNA from 1 species
UACGUAGGGCGCAAGCGUUAUCCGGAAUUAUUGGGCGUAAAGAGCUCGUAGGCGGUUUGUCGCGUCUGUCGUGAAAGUCCGGGGCUCAACUCCGGAUCUGCGGUGGGUACGGGCAGACUAGAGUGAUGUAGGGGAGACUGGAAUUCCUGGUGUAGCGGUGAAAUGCGCAGAUAUCAGGAGGAACACCGGUGGCGAAGGCGGGUCUCUGGGCCGAUACUGACGCUGAGGAGCGAAAGCGUGGGGAGCGAACAGG